CUUCAAAGGGUCAGGGUUUCCUAUACAGAGUCCAUUGUCAGAAUGGGGAAAUUAGCCUACGGCUGUUCAGGUGUUUCGCCAGUAGGAGGCAAUAACAUAUAGAUUCAGAU